rnacentral:rRNA from 1 species
UACGUAGGGUGCAAGCGUUAAUCGGAAUUACUGGGCGUAAAGCGUGCGCAGGCGGUUGUGCAAGACCGAUGUGAAAUCCCCGGGGCUUAACCUGGGAAUGGCAUUGGUGACUGCACGGCUAGAGUGUGUCAGAGGGGGGUAGAAUUCCACGUGUAGCAGUGAAAUGCGUAGAGAUGUGGAGGAAUACCGAUGGCGAAGGCAGCCCCCCUGGGAUAACACUGACGCUCAUGCACGAAAGCGUGGGGAGCAAACAGG